AGUGAACGCUGGCGGUAGGCCUAACACAUGCAAGUCGAACGGCAGCACAGUAAGAGCUUGCUCUUACGGGUGGCGAGUGGCGGACGGGUGAGGAAUACAUCGGAAUCUACUUUUUCGUGGGGGAUAACGUAGGGAAACUUACGCUAAUACCGCAUACGACCUACGGGUGAAAGCAGGGGAUCUUCGGACCUUGCGCGAUUGAAUGAGCCGAUGUCGGAUUAGCUAGUUGGCGGGGUAAAGGCCCACCAAGGCGACGAUCCGUAGCUGGUCUGAGAGGAUGAUCAGCCACACUGGAACUGAGAAACGGGCCAGACUCCUACGGGAGGCAGCAGUGGGGAAUAUUGGACAAUGGGCGCAAGCCUGAUCCAGCCAUACCGCGUGGGUGAAGAAGGCCUUCGGGUUGUAAAGCCCUUUUGUUGGGAAAGAAAAGCAGCAGGUUAAUACCCCGCUGUUCUGACGGUACCCAAAGAAUAAGCACCGGCUAACUUCGU
rnacentral:rRNA from 1 species